rnacentral:tRNA from 1 species
GGGCCCUUAGCUCAAUUGGCAGAGCAACUGACUCUUAAUCAGUAGGUUGAAGGUUCGAUUCCUUCAGGGCCCA